CCCUGACACAGGCCUCCUCCUGAGCCACCCUGGCUGCUGUGAGCUCCGCGGUCAGGGCUUUGGGCUGAUGCUCAACUAGCUCGAUUUAAGCAAGUUCUUAAGAUCCUGGACAACUUGAGUAAGAAAAGGAAACACCAAGGCACCGAGAAGAGGUAAGACACUCCCGCUUUCUCCUCAUGUAUUCUGAGUGGCUGUGGUUUCCCAGGAGUCUAAAAGAUGUGCACGUACCUCCUGUGUCAAUAUAUUCAUUCAUUUUUGAAAAAACAAAAAAGUGCCUUUAGGGGAAGUUAAUACAAAUAACAUAUGUGCUUUAAAACUCAAGAGAGAGACCACCUGCUUCCAGCCUGGGCCCAAACGUGGGGGGUGAUAGGACCCACUGAGGGAUUUGGCGACGGAAAAAGAUCUAAGGGAAGUGGUCAGGUUGGCCGAGGUCUUCAAACCCU